AGUGAACGCUGGCGGUAGGCCUAACACAUGCAAGUCGAACGGCAGCACAGUAAGAGCUUGCUCUUACGGGUGGCGAGUGGCGGACGGGUGAGGAAUACAUCGGAAUCUACUUUUUCGUGGGGGAUAACGUAGGGAAACUUACGCCAAUACCGCAUACGACCUACGGGUGAAAGCAGGGGAUCUUCGGACCUUGCGCGAUUGAAUGAGCCGGUGUCGGAUUAGCUAGUUGGCGGGGUAAAGGCCCACCAAGGCGACGAUCCGUAGCUGGUCUGAGAGGAUGAUCAGCCACACUGGAACUGAGACACGGUCCAGACUCCUACGGGAGGCAGCAGUGGGGAAUAUUGGACAAUGGGCGCAAGCCUGAUCCAGCCAUACCGCGUGGGUGAAGAAGGCCUUCGGGUUGUAAAGCCCUUUUGUUGGGAAAGAAAAGCAGCAGGUUAAUACCCCGCUGUUCUGACGGUACCCAAAGAAUAAGCACCGGCUAACUUCGUG
rnacentral:rRNA from 1 species